rnacentral:rRNA from 1 species
UACGAAGGGGGCUAGCGUUGCUCGGAAUUACUGGGCGUAAAGGGAGCGUAGGCGGAUAGUUUAGUCAGAGGUGAAAGCCCAGGGCUCAACCCUGGAAUUGCCUUUGAUACUGGCUAUCUUGAGUACGGGAGAGGUGUGUGGAACUCCGAGUGUAGAGGUGAAAUUCGUAGAUAUUCGGAAGAAUACCAGUGGCGAAGGCGUUCUGCUGGGCCGUUGCUGACACUGAGGCGCGACAGCGUGGGAGCAAACAGG